GACGAACGCUGGCGGCGUGCUUAACACAUGCAAGUCGUACGGUAAGGCCCUUUCGGGGGUACACGAGUGGCGAACGGGUGCGUAACACGGGAGUAACCUGCCCACAACUUUGUGAUAACGCGAGGAAACUGGGGCUAAUACUGGAUAUGUGCUCCUGCUGCAUGGGGGGGGUUGGAGAGCUCCUGCGGUUGUGGAUGGACUGGCGGCCUAUCGGCUUGUUGGUGGGGUAGUGGCCUACCGAGGCGGCGACGGGUAGCCGGCCUGAGGGGGUGACCGGCGACCUUGGGACUGAGAGAAGGCCCAGACUCCUAAGGGAGGAAGAAGUGGGGAAUACUGCACCAGGGGCGCCAGCCGGAUGCAGAAACGCCGCGUGCGGGAUGACGGUCUUCGGGUUGUAAAACGCCUUCAGCAGGGACGACGCUUUUUGUGACGGUACCUGAAGAAGAAGCACCGGCUAACUACGUG
rnacentral:rRNA from 1 species